CGCGCUGCUAACGCGCAGUACUCGGAACACCGCUUCGUUCAUCGGAUCCCAUGAGUCGAGGGCGCCGACGACGAGGGCCGUCACGAUCAUGGUCUUACAUAGAGAUCCUCAAAACGAAAUCGAAAUUUGAGAAUAGGAAUUGACUCUCUUCUUGUCCGUGUUUUUAAUAUUUGGGUUUGCCACUAUCGAGUGUGAUGCUACUAUCGAGGGAAGUAUGGAAGCGUAAUAACUUGCAAUAAAGCAUUUGAUUUCAUUAAUGUCUGAAUACCAUACGUCGUGUUUUGCUGUGGAUCUUUCAUUAAAAAAUUAGUUUAAAUGAAACGACGAAGAGGUGUGUAGUAUCGCGAUGCCAAACUUUAAAAGUGCGAAAAAGAAGUGUUCUGUUUUUAUACCUAAAAUGCCGUCAGAUAUUGAAAAACGUGAAAAAUGACUAGCUGCAGUUCCUGGCAUUACUAAAUUAAAGCAAUCGUAGUUUGUUUGCGAGAAGCAUAUUGAGGAGCGGUACAUUCUCAGAAAAUGAAUAAAACAACUCGAAUGGUAUAAUUAUUGCUGAAGUUCCAUACAAGCAUCCUUGACUCGAUGCGUCCGUUGUCGCUCAAUAUUUGACAAUAAUGUAUCAAUUCAUUUUGUCAAUACUACGAUAGAAUAUUAUUUUAUUGUUUCUAUUCUGAAGUUAGAUAUUCCAAUAGAUUGAACAUGGAUCCAAACUUUUCUGCUUUUCAAUCUAUUGAUGAAUAGAUGAAGGAGUCAUCUUACAUACAAAACGUGAAAAACAAUAUGUUUCAAUGAUAGAAAGAGAUGUAGUUAAUACAGAUAUACACAAGCUUGAGAUUCUUUUACCGAUGAAGCUGAUAUCGAGAAGAUUCAGAAUCAAAAAUUGCAGAAUUGGCCAAAAAAUUCUACAACGCAUGAGAAGAGUUUUGAUAUUCUUUCAAAAACCAAAAUAAUCGUUUGUAAGUAAUUGUAAUUUAUGAUAAAAAGAAAUAAUGCAGAAUUUACAUUGCUUCGAUAUCCGACGUAUGACGUCCGAUAUCCAAUAAGAAAAUUUGAUUUGUACAGACUUUUUUUGCUAGAAACUCUAGAAAUUAAAUUGUUUUAUAUAAUAUGUAUACAUAUAUAAUUAAAUCGGCCUAAGAGCCAACGCGUGCGAAAUUAAUUCGUUUCGCGGAUUUUUUUAAACAUUUGACAAAUUGUCAAGAUUUAAUUGGGAACUGUGUCUCUUGGUUUGAGACUAGCAGUCUCUUUAGUUCUCUUUAAACCUUUUGCAUAUUAUAUUUCUAAGAUAAAUUUUAUUCUUUUGUGAAAAGAAUUGAAUAUUGUUAAAAUUUUUAUUUUACUUUAUUUACAACUUAAUAGACAGGGCCGUCUUGUUAUUAGAUCCUAUUUGCCAAAUAUUGCAAAAAUAUGCCAAAAUAUUGUAAAUUCUAUACAAAUGUUAAUUGACAAUGGGUAUCCACUGCAAUUAAUUUUCAAAUAUAUUAACUUAAAGAUAAGAAAACUAUCCAGGAUAAAGUUCAUGAAUGAUAUUGGAAAUAGUUGUGAAGAUAUGUCACAAAAACCACAAGAACAGUUUAUAGGAUUUCCGUACAUCAGGGAGCUCUCAGAAUUUCUUAAAAAAACUUUUAGAUCUACUAACAAUAAGUUCUUUCCCGGUUAUGGAUGCUUUAAUAAACUUAAUAGAUUCAUAAAAUUGCACAAAAAAUUAAAUAAUAACAUUAUUACAAAAGAAAUUGCAACGAUUGUGAUGCGUCAUAUAUAGGCCAAACCAAGAGGAAAUUAAUUACAAGAAUUAAUGAGCACAAAAGAAAUAUUAAACAAACAUCAAAAUUAUUAGUCAUAUCUCAACAUAUCAUAAAUUUAAAUCAUUCUAUUAACUGGGAGGGCACUAAAAUUUUAGAUCAUGAAAGUAAUUAUUUCAAAAGAUUAAUUUCAGAAACAAUUUAUAUGAAACAACAAUGGCUUGAAUUAUAACGAGGACACAAAAUCGUUAGACAAAAAUUACUAUCCGUUACUUGACACAAUCAACAAAUCAACAAAUUAUAAACAUAUCUCACCUUGAUGUUCUACUUAUAAAAGAUUUAGAUUCUGAGAGAUCCUUCAUAAUAAUUUAAUAACAAAUACAGCACAAUUAACCAUCAAGAUAUUCUCAAGCUAUAAGUUAAUGUGAGUAUUACAAUGACGAUAUUAUUAACAAUUUGAUGUUUCACUAUACGUAAGUUUCAAUUUACACAGAUAAACUAUUUAUACAGAUAAACUACAUAUUACAUAGACAACAUUUUCAAAUGCUUAAUCUCAUCUAGAUUUGAGAAACAUAUGGAUAUUGCGUUUUGACUACGAAGAUUAUCGACUAAAAUAUGACUACUGACUUACCGAUUUAAUUUACUUUAUAAUUCCAUAUCAAUUCUUUUAAUUAAUUUUUCGUUUCGUUUCCUUGGCUCUAUUGCCCAGCUUAAAAGACAGCAUACUUAUAUUAUUUACUUUAUAAUGUUAAGUUUAAUAUGAUUGAAAAGACACAAGUGAGUGUCGAAACGUUACUAUGUAUUAAUUUGAAUUGUAUGAUUUAGAAAUAUAUAUUUAUCAUUGUCAACUAAUAA